GAUGAAGAACUCAGCGAAAUGCGAUAAGUAAUGUGAAUUGCAGAAUUCAGUGAAUCAUCGAAUCUUUGAACGCACAUUGCGCCCGCCAGUAUUCUGGCGGGCAUGCCUGUUCGAGCGUCAUUACAACCCUCAGGCCCCCGGGCCUGGCGUUGGGGAUCGGCGGAGCCCCCCGUGGGCACACGCCGUCCCCCAAAUGCAGUGGCGGUCCCGCCGCAGCUUCCAUCGCGUAGUAGCUAACACCUCGCGACUGGAGAGCGGCGCGGCCACGCCGUAAAACACCCAACUCUUCUGAAGUUGACCUCGAAUCAGGUAGGAAUACCCGCUGAACUUAAGCAUAUCAAUAAGCGGAGGA
rnacentral:misc_RNA from 1 species